ensembl:lncRNA LINC00174 long intergenic non-protein coding RNA 174
CUCGGAGUGGAGCCUGGUAACCGCGACUUCCCCGCCAUGUUCUGUGUGUUGCUGGCUGGAGAAGGGUGGUUGACAAACUCCGACCCAGCACAGUGUUUCUGUGGGUCAAAACUAGAAAACUAUGUCCAGGCUCGGCCGAGGCGGAAGGAUCCGUUCAGGCCAGGAGUUAAAGAGCUGCCUGGGCAACAUGGCGCGACCCCAUCUCUGUAGUCCCACCUCAGCUUCCCAGAUACUUGAACCCCAAGGUUCAAGGCUGCAAUGAGCUAUGAUCCCAUCACAGCACUCCAUCCUGCGAGACGGAGGACCUGCGGAGCAGCCAGGCUUCAUGAGUUAAAUGCAGAUCUGAACCAUACCCAGUUGGGAUUGGGAGACGGGGUUUCACCAUGUUGGCCAGGCUGGUCUGGAACUCCUGACUUGAAGUAAUCUGCCCACCUCGGCUUCCCAAAGUGCUGGGAUUACAGGCGUGAGCCACUGCGCCUGGCCCCUUCAGGCCAGAAUUCUAAAGUCAGUCCCACUGAGUCAAGGUGGGAGCAGGGUCAGUGCCUUUCCAGGCUCUGCGGGAGAAUCCGUUUCCUGGCCCUGGAGGCGGCCUGUACUCCUCAGCUUGUGCUGCCCUUCUCGAAUGACUCGCGUUUCCUGCUUUCAUCACUACACCUCCCACCGCUCUCCAUCACCUGCUCUGCUCUUAUAAGGAUCCAGAGAAAUGGAAUAAUCUUAUUGCUGAUCUAUGUAAACAAGUUGAAGAAUUGUCUGAAAGAAAAUACAGUGUGUCUAAACUGGAAAAGUCCUGUAAUAGUUUGUUCAUGAGCAUUUACACAGUGGAGUUACUGUUCAUCAUGGGGGUACUGUGGACAAGCCCAGGGCUGCUGUAGAGACAAGAGUUUUUCCAUGUAGGCCCGGCUGGCCUCGAACUCCUGACCUCAAGUGAUCCACCUGCCUCCCAAAGUGGGAUUACAGAUACAUGAAGUUAUGAAUUUAAGAUGUGAAGAUUUACAGCUUGAUAAACCAGCUUCAGGAGACAUGAUCUUAUGAAUUCAACACAUGAAGAUUUACAACUUGAUAAACCAGCUUCAGGAGAUCAGAACUUCUUAUAAUACAACUGACGUUACUCAGCCUAGAACAAAUACAACAGGGAUUGUGCUGCAUUCUGACUUGGAUUCUGCCAUCGAACACAGAAUGCCCUGAUCCUUAGAUGCAGAGGCAGCUCUUCAGCCUAUGGGGGCUGCUGUAAAAUAUUACAGGCAUACUUUGGAGAUGUUACGGGUUUGGUUCCACAUCACUGCAAUAAAGUGAGUCACACAAA